UAUUCCCACCUUCUGCAUACGAAGUCAGUUGCUCGCGCUGCCUCUCCAAACAUCUCAAGUGCGUUCUUCUGUAUCUAUUAUUUCGAAAAUAGAUACGUUUUAAUACAAUAUGUCUGAAGCAUAUUUACAAGAACUACUGGAGGAAAAAGAUCUUCUUGAUCCAAAUACCUUUGUUCAUUCAAUUCGGCUUUUGGAGGAUGAGGUUCUUCGAGUAACUGCUAAGAAUGAUGAAAACAGGGAUUACACUACAGCUGGAGGAUCAAGAACAGAAGACACACCAAAUGGUGAUUCUCCAUCUAGUAAAAAACCACGUUAUCGUACAUAUCAAGGAGCAGUUGUCACCGAGGAAAUUGUAAAACUCAGUGAAAAAGUCGUUGUUCCAGUCAAGGAGUAUCCAAAGUUUAAUUUUGUUGGCAAGUUACUCGGCCCACGCGGUAACACAUUAAAGCGACUUCAAGCUGCCACACAAACAAGAAUGUCAGUUCUUGGCAGAGGUUCAACAAGGGACAAAGAAAAGGAAGAAGAAUUGCGAAACUCAGAUGAUUCUAAAUAUGAGCAUUUAAAGGAGCCCUUACAUGUGCUUAUAGAAGUUGAAGCACCCAAAAGUGAUGCUCAUGCACGAUUGGCAGCUGCAUUAGCUGAAAUUAAGAAAUACAUGGUUCCUGAAAAUGAUGAAAUCAGACAGGAACAAAUGAGAGAAAUGGCAUUACUUAACAGUUAUGAAAAACAUCCUGAUGGGUCAGGAAUAGCAGCAACUUCUGUUAUUGGAAGAGGUCGUGGCGCCCCAGCACCUAUUAUAAGAGUUGGUAUACCUCCACCAGGUGCAAUUAUUUUGAAUGGACAACAACCAAUGGCAAUAAGAGGAAGAGUACCAAGAGUUAUUGCACGAGGAAGACCAGGUAUUCGUCAUAUUGCUUUACCACGGCAUGCUGCACCAGCUCCAGACCCUUACGCUUAUGAUGCAUAUGAUACAACUUAUGAAGCUGCAUAUGAAGGAUAUCCAGAAACUGGUGAAGCUGUGUAUUAUGAGUACCAAGAGGAGUACCCACCAAGUAGUAGUACUGGAAGACGUGGUGAAAAAAGAGCUAGUAUCGGUGGUGGUUACAACCCCAAGAAGUACAGAAGUGAUCCUUACUCAGAGGUAUCUUAUCCUUCCCAGGAAUCUGAUCAUUACCGAUCGGCAUCGAUGCGUUAACCGUGCAAUAAACUUCGUAAAUUUAAUGUUUGUGUUCCCUCAUAAUCGUAAUCGGCUGAUAAUUAGCUGUAAAGUCGACUAGUAGUUUAUAACUGCUGUGCAAUUAAAGUAACUAAUUACAGCUUUUUAAAAUUUUAUACUAGAUGCCUUAAAUGUUGAGAUAAUGUUUGUUUUGUAAAAAAGUUGACGAGUGGUAGCUGCAUUCUUUAGCAUGUAUGCUCCAUUGUAUUUUACUAACGUAAGAAUGAUAUUUUUCACUAAAAUCAUUUUUAUACUUCCAAUUUUAUAUAUUUACGUGUUUAUGAUCAAAUGAAAUUAUAUUUUAAUGAUAUAAAACUUUUGUUUGCUAUUUUUCCAUUCGCUUGUAAAUUUUUCCUGACGUGGUUAUUUGGUUCUGCAUUCUUUUUUAAAUUAGUGUGAUAAAUGUAUGGACUAAAACGUCUUUGUCCAUAACAUUUGAUUGCAAAACUGAAACAGUAUUUUAAAAAGAGACCACCUAAAGUGUAAAUCCAGGAAAUCGGGAUAUCCAUUUAACAAAGAAAGCUCGGAAACAUGAUCUUUGCUGGUGGGAUCAGAGUAGUCACAAAUUUUGAAACCCUGUCAAAUUUUUUUAAAAGCCUAAAUUAAGUUUUCUCAUACAGAAAUGUUUUCCAGGCGAAAAAAGUGUAUACGUUGAGUGGAUAUCCUCGGGGCAGACCUUAUGUCUAACAUUGAAAUUUUUAUGCUAAACUUAUAAGUUAAACCUUACUAAUUCUUUAUUUUCUACACACUAAAGCUAAAACCGUCAUUCUGCAAGUUAAAAACCGUCAUUCUGCAAGCUAAAACCGUCAUUCUGCAAGCUAAAACCGUCAUUCUGCAAGCUAAAACCGUCAUUCUGCAAGUUAAAACUGCUUUAAACAACUAAACAUUAAUAAGGUUUAACUUGUAAAAUGAAUAUUUCUCUAGUUCUAAUUGCUAUUAUUUAUGAAUUUGAUAACCAUGGUAUGUUAUAUAUCUAAACUAAUUAUUUUCAGUACUAUUAGUCAUUGUACUCAUGUCAUUUCUCCUUAUUUUUCUAGAUUUAAACCCUUCGUGGACUUGUUCCAAUAUUUUUCUAUUAAAUGGUUUUAAUACACAAGUGUUGGUGUUAAUUUUCUUAGUUUCAUCUAAAACGACUGACUUAUUUCAUUAGUACAGAAAUCCCUGUUUUUUUAAACGUAUUAAUUUUCGCGCAUACUAAUUUAUUUGUCGCGUUUUUUUAAUUUUUUUUUACAAAAACAAAACCGAAGGGCAUUUUAAAGCCGUUGUUUUGCUUGUAUCAUUGAACGUGUGGACACGUUCAUUUUUCCUUGUGUGAUACACAAAAAUUUUAACACAUUUUUGCGAGCAUUAAUUUUCGUGAAGCAAUGAAGUCAGCUUAUUUGCGUUUUCUUAACAUCAGUUUUUCAAAAGAAUUUGUAGUAUUUGCAAAAAUGGUAUCGCGAAAAUUAUUACAUCCAAAUACAAUAAUCAUUCCGAAACUCACUAUUAAAUAAGGCGUAUUCACUUAACCAGUAAUUAUAUCAUAUCAUUGUAGCUUGGUUGUUAUGGUUAUUUCAUGUGCUUCAAACUUAAACUACACAUUGUCCUUUUAAGCGUUAAAUAGUUUAAAUAAACAACCUCUAGAUGUUUAGGUAUAAGAUUUAUAACCAAAUUGUCGCUAGCUAAUAUUGGUUUGUUACCUUUAUAACAGUAAUCACCCACAAAAUGCUGAUUGUGGUUUAAAAAGGUAGUCAGCUGGGUAUGUUGUGUAGGAAUGAUCGACGAAGAACUGAUUGUUUUAAACCUGAAUAUCAGCAACCUAACUAUUCUGUAGAAAAUCUUCGUGGUUAUUCAUACCAACGAGAUUUUCAUGUUCCUUACAGAGACAAACGACGCAAUUCUCAAAAACGUAAGGACAAUGAAUAUCUACCUCCUCGAAAAAUGACUCCGUCGAACAAUGACCAAAACAGCUUUCGUAACGUUCGAAUCACCAUAAGUAAUCCGAAAGAACGCUACAGAAGAGAACGUCGCCCUGCCGAGUUCGAUGAAAACGAGCGACUAUACAGCAAUCACGUUUCUAACAGAGAUCAGGAGUGGGGGCAGUAUAAGAAUUAUGAAGAAAAGGUUGGCAAAUGUAGAUCUAGGGCUGGUAAUGAGUGAUACGGAGGCGAAAAGAGUGAUUACAGAGACAACGAAAAGUAUUAUAAAUAUGAUAAAAACAAUAUUCUUGGACCGGACAGUUACCGUCCGUGAGGAACGCCCUUGUGAAUAUACAUUAACUCAUCGCAAUGACAUGUACGAUUGUUUUCGAGAUGAAACAAACCAAACUAGCCGCACCUCCCGUGAUUUUCGAAACGUAUAUGAUUCCCAACAGCGAUUUAAGGAUGAUGAGCAUAUUGGCAACAAUUUCAGGAACAGAGCGGAAAAUGUUUUCAGAGAACAGCAAUCGAAAAUCGUUUGCAAUCGGCUUGUAUGAUAGAAUUGAUGAUGGACUCGAGUUUAACGAAGAAUGCUUUCAUAGAAAAAGUGAAGCUUCUGUGCAACUCACAAGAAGUGAUAUAAGUUUAGACUGAUGUGCACAGAGAGAACUCAUACACUUCAAAUUACGAAAAGUUUAGCAAACAAAGUUUUAAUGACGCUUCAAAAUUCGUAGAGGUAAAAAUGCGAAAAAGAGUAACGUCAAGUAGUCACGAAGAUGAUGACGCAAUCAAUAUCUGUGAUGAUAAACAUCAGAUCACUUCUCUUCAUUAUAGCAGUCGCACUGUUGAUUAUAACGGUCGCCUGGUUAGGUCUAAAGAAAUAUUUAAAAAUGAAGAUGAAGGCUAUCUGAAUAAGGAUGUUCGUCGUAGGAUUGCAACACAGUAUCUUCGCAAAUUUAGCGAUCGGAAUAACAAUAGUGCAUGGUACAAAAAUCGAGACGAAGAUAAAGAAUACGCUGAGAGAUUGCAUGAUGAGAUCAUGCGUUAUAAAACUAAUAAACCAGCACCUUCUUGAUAUGAUGACAUAUGUAAAAGUGAGUUUAGGUCAUGUAUGGCAAAUUUAAAUGCAGAUUAUCAAAUUAUGUGUGAUAACAAUAGUGGUGGCAGAAAUACAUCGCCAUACAAGCAAGAAUUUCAGAAGCAGACUCGCCACUACCACCACGACUCUGAUGAAAAUUAUUUUUCAAGUGAACUAGAUUCGGAUUACAAAGGAGUAAACCUUAAUACUUGCAAAAUUAAUCUAAGUAACAGGUCUAGGUCAAACAACUUCAAUAAAUAUUAUGCAAUUGAUGAAGUUGGGUUGAAUCAAAUCCAAAGUCAUAAACGAGAAAGGUUUAACGUGGAGUUACGGACUAUCCCUAAACACUUGCCUAUUUCGUACGAUAAAUCUAUACACGUUUUCCCUUUACCUACUGAAGCAGUUAUUAAUGCAAAACACUGCUUUUUUGAUCGGGGUUGUAUCUCAAAUAUGGAUGUUUACAAACGAUUUUGAUUCACUUAGUGAAAGUGGCUUACUGGUAUAUCCUGAUCAAACGAGCUCUAAACAGUCGGCAACAGAUGGGGAAAAACAAAAAAAUAUAGUUUCAAAGAAACCGGCAGCUAGGUAUGGAGAAAUGGAGACCAAAACACACACAGAUACCGUUGAAACACGAUGGGGAAACCGACGUUCUAGCAAGUUGUCAGAUCAACAUAAAUAUAGUAGUCCCAAGCGCAAAGAUCUUGAAUUUACGUCGAGCUCCGUUAGUGUGGAAGAAAAGAGUGGUGUUACAAGAAAGGGAACAGCAAAUUAUGAAGAGAUUAAAAUAAACACACGUGAAGGCCGACUUGAGAAUCGACGUUGCGAGUUGCCAAAUAAAAAUGAAUACAUAUAUGGUGAUUGCAAGCGCAAGGAACCCGGAAAAUAUACGUUGGGUAAUGAAAGCCGCCGUAUAAAUUCACCAUCAAGGCAUAUUCUUUUUCCAAAAUAAACGACAAAAAAUUGUCUCUCCUGUAAAAAACUUUGAACGCAAAGAUAUUAAACAAAUCCUAAUCGAUGGUGGUGAUGCAUCUGUAUCAAAAUAUAAAAAGGGAAAAAAAGCUGCAACGUUACUUAUGUCUAAACUUCUUCCUUUGUAUCAACUGUACUCUCCGGUCCAGUAUGUUGUACCGUAUAACGUGGCGUUAGCAAAUCAAAAUCCACCAGUUGUUGUGGUAAACAGGCACAGUAUUCAACCAACUUCGGCUUGGGUGUCAAGGCCUAAUCUCACCGGCGAAAGGUUGAUGGAAACAAAUGUGAAAUUAAUCAACCAACUAAGUCAGCCUGUAAAAUGCACUUCUGCGCUUAAAUUUAAAAAAGCUUCUUACCUGCAACGACAACAAGUACGAAUUCUGCAUCAAAUACACUCAUUUCCUCAUCACAAACCAAGCAGAAUGGUAAAAAUGUAAGAAAGCCGUGGUUUGACAAAGAAUGUCGUAACUUACGGAAGAAACGUCAAGAGAAGAUAGCGUCACUGUAUCGUGCCCAAAAAUCGUCAAAUUCUCAGAAAACUGAAAACAUUUCUGUCAUUAAAGAGAAGUUGCGACGAAUAAAUAGAGGUUAUGUAUCGCUGCUGCGUAAGAAAAAAAAAGAGUAUUUCGGUCAGUUAGAAAGGGAAGGAAAACAAGAAGAUAUUUGUAAAAGUGUUCAGGUUCUGUUGUAAAAAAGGCAAUGUUGUGUGAAAAACAUGAAGAAAAAAAUGAAGACGUGGAAAGUGCGCCAAAACUGUCAUAUGUUUGUACGAAAACGGACAGUGACAAUGUGAUUGUGAUAAAUUCAUCGUGCGAAGAAGAUUAAAAGUUACAGAUUAUACACCAUAAUUGAUCCUUAUUUUUUUUUUAUUUUUUUUUUUUUUUUUGUUAUACUCUAUUUUAGUUAACGUUAAAAAUAGCACUCGAAUGUAGUGGGUAUUUAUUUAAAGCAAAGAAAAUGACAGGUAUAAAAAAAGCUUUGGGUGAUCUACUUUAAGGGCACAAACGAUUUCUAUACAGAUUAUUGACGAUGAUGAAGAAUAGAAUUUUUAACUCUAUAACAAAUCUUGUGUUUCUAUAUACGUUUAUUCUUAUUUUUUAUAAAUCAUUUCUAAACAUAGAAAUUUAUUUCUUCGUGUCAUUCGCCAAAAUAAAUCCCCGCUAAAAUAAACAUUUUUUUGUAUUCGCCAAAUUAAAUCCUCGCCAAAUUUUUUAAAAUUUAUCAUUCGCCAAUUUAAAUCCCCGCAAAAUAUUCCAUUUUGUUCAUUCGCCAAAUUAAAUACUCGCCAAAUUUUAUCCACUUAGGUACAACGAUGAUGAGAGUGAACAAAGUGAUCUGAGCGAUUUAGGAAGAAAUGUUUUUGAUUUACUUGAAUAAGAAAAUCAUUUUGAGACCUUAAUAUUUUUCUCGUUUCUUGUUUUUUUUUUGUUUGUUUUUUUUUUUACCAAUUUUAUAAUUCGAAUUAAUACGGAAUUUGCGCAAUUUAAUACCAAAAAAGUGUUUACCGUAAUGCUUCGAAUAAACGCCCCUUGUAUUAAACGCCCCCCUCGAAUAGACGCCCCCAUUUUCAGUCAUUUAUUGAAUAAACGCCCCCUUCUAAUAGACGCUCCUUCCUCAUAAGGGGGCGUUUAUUGGAGGCGAUAGUAAAAAUACAUUAAAAAAUAAAUAACUUAUUGUUUUGCUUUUUUAAUUAAUGGUGUUAUUAUAAUAUUGAAAUUUCAUAAAUACGACUAUACAUCGGUAAAAUAAGGAAAUUUUCUACAAACGCCUUUUUUCCUAAAUCUUAGGUUUAAGGUUUUGGAAAUUUAGUUUUUUUUGCUUUUCAAGUUCAUUCUCUAAAACCUGUGAAUAUCUUUUAUUUUUCUGUUGUGAAGAUAAACUUUGCCGGUACAACAAGACCAACUUCACGAUGCCGUUUA